GAUGAACGCUGGCGGCGUGCUUAACACAUGCAAGUCGAACGGUGAAGCAGGAGCUUGCUCCUGUGGAUCAGUGGCGAACGGGUGAGUAACACGUGAGCAAUCUGCCCUGGACUCUGGGAUAAGCGUUGGAAACGACGUCUAAUACCGGAUACGAGGCGUGGGGGCAUCCCCAACGCCUGGAAAGAACUUCGGUCCAGGAUGAGCUCGCUGCCUAUCAGGUAGUUGGUGAGGUAACGGCUCACCAAGCCUACGACGGGUAGCCGGCCUGAGAGGGUGACCGGCCACACUGGGACUGGGACACGGCCCAGACUCCUACGGGAGGCAGCAGUGGGGAAUAUUGCACAAUGGGCGCAAGCCUGAUGCAGCAACGCCGCGUGAGGGACGACGGCCUUCGGGUUGUAAACCUCUUUUAGCAGGGAAGAAGCGAAAGUGACGGUACCUGCAGAAAAAGCACCGGCUAACUACGUGCCAGCCGCCGCAGUAACAC
rnacentral:rRNA from 1 species